rnacentral:misc_RNA from 1 species
ACACAAUUUGUCAAUACUGAUGAAAUGACUCGAUUAGCCUUGUUGGUUUGUUAUUGUGGCUAUGCUACAGUGUAUCUAUACCGGUAUAUACAGUUUUAUAGUACAAUUUAUUUAAAAUGAAGUUUUGAAGAAAACGGCCGAUGUGUUCAUUUGUUACAACCAUUACCUGUAGGAUUUAAUGUUAACAAAUUUUAUAAAUUAUAUUGAUGAUUACUGUUGAAUUUAAUGUUAACAAAUUUGAUAUACAUGUUUAUUUAUAUAAAAUUAAAUGAUAACAUACAAGCAAUAAAAUCCUUUUUU